GCUGCGCCGCUGUCCCGGGUAAUUUUUCAUCUCGGCCGGCUAAUCUUUGUUCCCAGCGAAGAUAAUGAAUAGCCAAUCGUUAUCUGCCCGGCUGCUGGAGGCUGCCCGAGAAUGGGGUUGUACAGGGCUGGGAAUUGUUUCCAAAGUGCCGCGGAAUAAAUGGUGUUCCUUAUCUCUGCCUUCCAGAUUAUCGGAGCCCUUUCAGAGCGCGCACAACAAAUGCGCCCGCCAUCGAAUGCAUCAUUUACCACCGCAGAUCCGCGUGCUGAUGGGCAGGCAGAUAGCAGUCCACGGGGGGCACGCCAGGCGCCCAGCGGCGGCACUGCUAGACUGCGAGGUGGAGGCGGGGGGGCGGGAGGCCCGAAUGUGCGCCCCCACUGUGCCCGCCUCUUUGGUGGUUGGGCAUGUGGGUGUGCCAGUGGAUGGGCACUGAGCAAGCAAGGGAGUUGAUGUGCGUGCGCGUAUGUCAAACAAGUGUGCUACAAGAAGUGCACGUGUGCAAGCCCAUGCACACACGGGUGCACACGGGUGAUGGGCCUGCGUGCUGUGAGUGCCUGGAGACGAGGCUCUGAGGGUACACAGAGGAAGGGGUAUUGCACAGGAGUGUGUGAACAUGCGUGUCACUCAGGGCGGGCGGGGGGGGUGGUAAAUACGUGUGUGAAGGAGUGGAUGUGCAAGCCCCUGUGUAUACGUGUGAUGGAUGUGUGGACUGUGAGUGACUCAGUGUAUCUGCCUCAAAGAAGCCCUUUAGGAGUACACACUGGAGGUGCGUGCGUGUGUGUGUGCAUGAGUGUUACUCUCCUGAAUGCCCUGUGCCUGCAGGCGUCCCAUCCUGCUCAGCGUUUUAGGGCCACGCGUGCUUAUAAGCGUGUGCAUCCCUGCACACCUGUGACUGCCAGGAGUGAGUGGGCAGGUGUGGGUGUUCGCCCGGUGUGUGCACGGAUCUGCGUGAGGGCGGUCGUUUCCUUGUGAAUCUCCCUGCCCAGGUGUGCCCGGGUGCACUGCAAGAGGGGCAAGCGCGGCCUUGGGGCCUGGCCCUGUGCCUGCAGGUGUAGGCUCCAGGCGGGACACACGAGCUGGGGAAAGAAAUAGCAAAGCGGAGAGCAUGGUACGUGUGGGAGUGCUAGACGUCACAAUGGAGUGGGCUGUGCCCCGUAGCAUGACUGCUUGCGACAGAAAACGGGGUGUGUAAGGGGAGGGUUCUCCCGAGGAGUUUGGGAACACCCAGAGAUCCUAACCCGCCUCAGUGGCACGUCCCGCCAGUGGUCCCAGAGCCUCCCCAGCUCUAGACCGGGGUAAGCGGGGCCGAGCGCUGCUGCCGGAGGAGCCGCGCGCGGUGAGUGACACGCGCUGCCGACAAAGGCUGUAUUUUUCCAGGCUCGCGCCCCGCCCGCGAUGGUCCCCAUGGCGACGCAGAUAGCGCUGCAGCCAUUUUUCCUAUCUCCCCGGAGUCUAUUAUAUCGCGGGAUUAGCUCAUCUCCAGGCAGGUCAAACCCAAAGUCACCCAACCUGCGGUGCGGGCCGUGCCGGGGAUCGGCCGCCUUUCCCGGCGGGGGUCUGGUCUCCGCUCCGCGACCUCAGGCGGCGGCCCAUACGCAGGCGCAGAGCGCCACCUGGCGGCCGCGGGUACCAGGUGCGGGGUCUCCGAGGGCCCGGGCCUGAAUGGGUCUCCGCAGAAGAGGUGGGGCAGGGGUCUCCUCCUCCUGAAGCAGGCUUUGUUUUGUCUCUGCUAUGUCGCAGGGGCCAGACUGGCACUCAGUAGAUGCUCACAUGUGUUUAUUAAAAAGGAUAGAUGGAUGGGCAAGAAAUCAAGGAUGAAGCAAACUGUAACGGAUCACACAACUUAGUUGGCAACAAGAAUUCAUUUAUUGGAAGUACGCACUGAAUUUAGAAUAAAAGCCAAACUCUUUGGAUCCUAUAUAAUCGCCGCUCAGACCUGGUUCCCCCAUUCGCGCUCCAGCCACAGUGACCCCCUUUUUGUUCUUUGAACAGGGAGUUUGUCUGCUCUCUUCUACACCCCAGUGUAUUCUGCCUCUACUCAGAUGUCACCCCUCAGAGAGCAAAGUCACUCUUUGCCCUACUUUUUUCAGUCUAUACUAUAUAGGGUGUCCCCCCCCAAAAUGUAUACACACACUUUGAAUAAUUAUAAAGGCAGUGUUUAUUAAAAUACAUUUCGCUUUCAAAAUUGAGCUAUCACCUGUUAAAGUGCAUAUACAUUAUUUUGGGACACCCUAUAUAUGUCUUUUAUAAUACUAGCAUCUUGUAAAAUUGUUUUGUCGCUCUCUGUCUUUGCUUAUUGUCAACUUCCCUGGAAUGAAUGCUAGGCUCCCUGGGCAGAGGGCUCUGUUUGGGAGAAGGGGAGUCAUCCAGCGCUGGAAUGUGUCUGACAAUCAAUUGACAUGUUAGAACUUUGGGAAUGAGUGAAUGAGGGAGGGAGAAGCAAAUGGACCAGGCCCUUGCACUUUAUUAUCACUAGAGGCCUGAUGCACGAAUUCAUGCACGGGUGGGGUCCCUCGUUGUGGCCUGUGGGGAUUGGGCCGAAACCGGCAGUCCAACGCCACCUACCGCUCCUGUCUGCCACUCCUGCUCAUCUGGAACACAACUGGCCCUCUGGGCGGGUGGUGAGAUGCCCUUGCCUGCCUGGGAUCCAGGAUCCAUCCUGCUGACUUUGCGCUGGUUGUAGGGAGCCGCCUGGCGGCUGUUUUUAUAUCAUGUCUUCCUUGUGGAGCAUCUAGGGAGGGGAAGUAGCCACGGUGGCCGAGGCUGGCAGCACUGUUGGGAUUGUGCAGGCAGCACCGGUCCAGUCAGUGCCUGGCCCAUUCUCUGGACAUUGGACCUACAGGACUACUGAGGGAGGGAGUGGCUGCCGCUGGGAUGGUCUGUCCACUGAGCAGCACUCCCUCUGUGGGAACCCACUGACCACCAGGGGGCAACUCCUGCGUGGAGCAUCUGCCCCCUGGUGGUCGUUUGGUCGCUUAGGCUUUUAUAUAUAUAGAUUUCUCUUUAUUGUUAUUCCAUUCCCCUGCACCCCCAUGUUUUGCUCACUCUAGCCCUGGGGUGCCUGGCUCCACUGACCUGUCCCAGCCUGCAAGUCCAGAGGCGCCUAGGACUGGGGGAGAGAAAGCCCAGAGGCCCCUCUACAACAUGCGCCUGCCUUGCCUUUUAGGCAGAGGACAGUUCUCACCCCUCUUUUUAGGGACUGGGAAGGACUGGGCCGCCGAGUGAGACUUCACUCAUAAUGCAAGAUAAUUAUACCAGGGUUGCCAUGACGUGGCGAUGAUUAAUUACUGUGCAUGGAGCAAGAUCAGCAAGGUAUCUAGAACUGAGAAAAGACCACAGCCCAACUGGACUUCCUGCCCAUCUCCUAAUCAGGCACCAGUCCAAGCCUCACCUUGGAAGAGGAGCUGUGGGGUAGCCGAGGCUCUCUGCCAAUCUCCAAAACACACACACACACACACACACACACACACACACACACACACUGCACGCGCACGCCCAGCCUGGCUGGGUGACCUUAGGCAAGUCACUUUCCUACUCUGAGCCUCAGGUCUGCCUCUGCAAACCUCCCUCCAGGGUUGCCAUUAGAGUUACUAAUAAACAUGUAUUUAAAAAGAAUUUUGUAACCCAGGCCUCAUAAAUUGGCAGUCCAAGCCUCAGGAGCCAAUACAAUGACUACUUGUUGCCAAUAUUUUGAAGUGGGAGAUUUCACACAGAGAGCCUCAUUUCCAGCUUCUCUUGAAAACUAGAAGGUUGGUUACCUCUGGCCUGCAUUCCUGCCUGUAAUGUAAUGCUGUGGUUCUGUUUUGCCAAGCAGG